UGGGGAAUAUUGCACAAUGGGCGCAAGCCUGAUGCAGCCAUGCCGCGUGUAUGAAGAAGGCCUUCGGGUUGUAAAGUACUUUCAGCGGGGAGGAAGGGAGUAAAGUUAAUACCUUUGCUCAUUGACGUUACCCGCAGAAGAAGCACCGGCUAACUCCGCGCCAGCAGCCGCGGUAAUACGGAGGGUGCAAGCGUUAAUCGGAAUUACUGGGCGUAAAGCGCACGCAGGCGGUUUGUUAAGUCAGAUGUGAAAUCCCCGGGCUCAACCUGGGAACUGCAUCUGAUACUGGCAAGCUUGAGUCUCGUAGAGGGGGGUAGAAUUCCAGGUGUAGCGGUGAAAUGCGUAGAGAUGUGGAGGAAUACCGGUGGCGAAGGCGGCCCCCUGGACAAAGACUGACGCUCAGGUGCGAAAGCGUGGGGAGCAAACAGG
rnacentral:rRNA from 1 species